AACGAACGCUGGCGGCGUGCCUAACACAUGCAAGUCGAGCGAGAAAGCCCGCAAGGGUGAGUAAAGCGGCGCACGGGUGCGUAACACGUGGGUAAUCUGCCCUAGAGUCUGGAAUAACUCGCCGAAAGGCGUGCUAAUGCCGGAUGAGACCACGGGAGCCUCGGCUCCUGCGGGAAAAGGUGGCCUCUGUAUACAAGCUAUCGCUCUAGGAUGAGCCCGCGGCCCAUCAGCUAGUUGGCGGGGUAAUGGCCCACCAAGGCAACGACGGGUAGCUAGUCUGAGAGGACGAUCAGCCACACUGGAACUGAGACACGGUCCAGACUCCUACGGGAGGCAGCAGUGGGGAAUCUUGCGCAAUGGGCGAAAGCCUGACGCAGCAACGCCGCGUGUGAGGAAGGUCUUCGGAUCGUAAAGCACUGUCGCGAGGGACGAAUAAGGGUCGGGUGAACAAUCCGGUCCGAUGACGGUACCUCGAGAGGAAGCACCGGCUAACUCUGUGCCAGCCGCCGCGGUAAGAC
rnacentral:rRNA from 1 species